CCUACGGGAGGCUGCAGUGGGGAAUAUUGGACAAUGGGCGAAAGCCUGAUCCAGCCAUGCCGCGUGUGUGAAGAAGGCCUUCGGGUUGUAAAGCACUUUCAGUGGGGAAGAAAGCCUUGGGGCUAAUACCCUCGAGGAAGGACAUCACCCACAGAAGAAGCACCGGCUAACUCCGUGCCAGCAGCCGCGGUAAUACGGAGGGUGCGAGCGUUAAUCGGAAUUACUGGGCGUAAAGCGCGCGUAGGCGGUCUGAUAAGCCGGUUGUGAAAGCCCCGGGCUCAACCUGGGAACGGCAUCCGGAACUGUCAGGCUAGAGUGCAGGAGAGGAAGGUAGAAUUCCCGGUGUAGAGGUGAAAUGCGUAGAGAUCGGGAGGAAUACCAGUGGCGAAGGCGGCCUUCUGGACUGACACUGACGCUGAGGUGCGAAAGCGUGGGUAGCAAACAGGAUUAGAUACCCCAGAGUC
rnacentral:rRNA from 1 species